rnacentral:rRNA from 1 species
GACGAACGCUGGCGGCGUGCUUAACACAUGCAAGUCGAACGGAAAGGCCCUGCUUUUGUGGGGUGCUCGAGUGGCGAACGGGUGAGUAACACGUGAGUAACCUGCCCUUGACUUUGGGAUAACUUCAGGAAACUGGGGCUAAUACCGGAUAGGAGCUCCUGCUGCAUGGUGGGGGUUGGAAAGUUUCGGCGGUUGGGGAUGGACUCGCGGCUUAUCAGCUUGUUGGUGGGGUAGUGGCUUACCAAGGCUUUGACGGGUAGCCGGCCUGAGAGGGUGACCGGCCACAGUGGGACUGAGAUACGGCCCAGACGCCUGCGGGAGGCAGCAGUGGGGAAUAUUGCACAAUGGGCGGAAGCCUGAUGCAGCAACGCCGCGUGCGGGAGGACGGCCUUCGGGUUGUAAACCGCUUUCGCCUGUGACGAAGCGUGAGUGACGGUAAUGGGUAAAGAAGCACCGGCUAACUACGU